UACGGAGGUCUCAAGCGUUGUUCGGAUUCAUUGGGCGUAAAGGGUGUGUAGGUGGCGCCGUAAGUCGGGUGUGAAAUUUCGGAGCUUAACUCCGAAACUGCAUUCGAUACUGCGGUGCUUGAGGACUGGAGAGGAGACUGGAAUUCAUGGUGUAGCAGUGAAAUGCGUAGAGAUCAUGAGGAAGACCAGUGGCGAAGGCGGGUCUCUGGACAGUUCCUGACGCUGAGGCACGAAGGCCAGGGGAGCAAACGGG
rnacentral:rRNA from 1 species